AAGUCGUAACAAGGUUUCCGUAGGUGAACCUGCGGAAGGAUCAUUACUGAGGUUACCGGGGGUGAGCUUGGUAAGUCAGCUGCUGGCGUCUUCGGACGUAUGUGCGCGGCUUACCUUCUCGCCUUCGUUCCUUCUAUCAACCCCUGUGCACUAUAUUAGGAUUAGAGAGAAGCGCGGCGUUAAGGGAUUAGCGUACUAGUUGUGGGUCCGCCCGGAACGAAACGUUAAUCUCUGAUCGGCGUCGCGUGGUACCUCGACGUCCUUCUUAACCACAAACCACUAUACAUGUCUUGUCAGAAUGUUCAGUCCCUAGUUGGACGCUAAAUUUAAUACAACUUUCAACAACGGAUCUCUUGGCUCUC
rnacentral:misc_RNA from 1 species